rnacentral:misc_RNA from 1 species
AAGUCGUAACAAGGUUACCGUAGGUGAACCUGCGGUAGGAUCAUUAAAGAGAUAGGGUUCUUACGAGCCCGACCUCCAACCUUUGUCACACUCACUCUUGCGCGCGGCGCCGUACCUACGGCUGCCGCUGCUGCUGCGCUCUCGAGUGCCCGCCGCAGGACUAUACAAACUCUUUCUGAACAAGCAUAAUCUGAGUGGAUAUUUAAUGCUUCAAUUAAAA